CUGGGAAUGGGAAGAUAAACACCAGUAGCCUUCUUGCCCUUGAAGAGUUUACCAGAGUCCCCCUCGUGGUGCAGCUGGUUAAGGACCUGGUGUUGUCACUGCUGUGGCUCUGGUCACCACACUGGCGCAAGUCCAAUCCCUGGCCCAGGAGGAACUUCCAUAUGGCACAGGUGCAACCAAAAACAAACAAACAAACAAAAAACAAAAUAAAACAAAUUAAGGAGCUUACCAUCUGGGAGGUAAGAUCGAGAAUCACAAUUUGGUUUGUCCACUGGCAGAUCUGGAUAAAGUCGUAUGGAUCACAGUGAAAGGAAGACUCUAUUUGGGGGUCUUGGAGAAGUUCUCAAGGGGAAGAUGGUAUGUAAAGUGAGCUCAGCAUUUGAAAUAGCCGGUAUGAAAGUAACCACGGGUAAGGUGCUUGACUAUGAACACCAGGCCCAAAUUUUACAGCAUCGACCUUUUGCAUCAUGGAUAAUUAAUGAGCAGACUAGCAAAAGGAGAUUGGCUUAUACUGUGUCAAACAAACAAACAAAGAAAUGAUAAUCUUUUCCCACCAUAAUUAUUAGGAGCUAAAGAAUACACACACCAAGGAACAAAACAAUGUUUAUCCUGCAAGACUAACAUGUACAUGUUGAUAAAAAUUAUCCACUUUAUAAAAUAACAGCUGCACAAAACUAAGAAAUGUGCAUAGACUGAUAGAUAUACCAUAAAGCCCUCAGUUACAAAUAACCCCAACCCUUAGACCAUCAUAAGCCGUAAAGGGGAUUAUUUGCUCAUGAAAUUUCAAAGUCUAAAGAUAGUCAAGCUUCAGGUAGAAUUUGAUCAAGGCUAGGACUUUGUUCCGGUAUUGUAGGCUCUGUGCCCUUGUGUAUUGGCUGAGUCUUCAGGCUGCCUUCCCUCAUGCUAAACAAAUUGUUAAUGGUCCAUGAGUCUGUAUCUUUAUGUAUAAGAACAGGAAAAAGGAAAGGAAGAGACUUACUUUUUUUAACCAUCGAGUCAAACCAUCACUUAUUUGAUGGUCAGCAUUCUGACCACCUAUUGGCUUAGGUUACCCCUGAAUUAUCUAUAAACAAGCCACUGUUUGAAGGUGAUUGGCUUAGACAAAUCGGCCUACACAUAGACCUGGUGGUGCCAAUAUCCCCCCAUACUUAAUAGGUUGGGGGGAUUUCGGCACUGCCCAAGAAUUAGCCAACUUCAAUGUUUAUGAGUAACAAAAAAUUAACAAGACCUGGAAGGGCAAUCAAUGUCCUCUUUGCAGCUCUCUUUAGGUACAACAUCUAGUUCCUUUUAUCAUCUCCUAAUAGUCAGUCAAAGGUUUUAGAGGCUGCAACUAAAGAUCUUUUGUAAUAAUUCGACCCAGGCCUAAUCAUCCUCCAGGUCUGAAACCUCUGGGUCAUCUUCUUAUUAUUUGCCCAGGAAAAGAAAAAAGAUCUUUUACACUGAGAAGCAAAUUAACUAACCCAUUAGCGGAACACUGCCCCCCCCCCGUUUUUUUUUUUUUUUCAAGAAAAAAUAUGCAUAUAUUAUUACUUUUUAGGAGGAUUCAGCUUUCAUGAAAGUAUUUUGGAAGCUGGCAGAAAACUAACAUGAGAAGAUUCUGAAAGGAGAAGGAAAUACCUAAAACAGGAAAAAACAAAUUCUAAAAGGUCAGAAAGAAUAUCGAGGACAAGGCAGUGGCUGUGUUCUAAGCCAUGUGUCUGUGCUCUGCCUGGGAGAACAUUAGAUCCCUAGAUCGGUGUCCCCGCCUGCUUUCUUCUCCUGGGAGAAUGACCAGUGUGGUGCUUUAAGUGGGGAAGGGCUUUGCUAACUAGUGAACUCAAGACAUGUCCCAUUUAUCCAUCUCCUUUAGAGGAAGGGGCAGAGAAAAGAUGACAAACCUUGAAAAGCCCUAAACUUGACAUCAAAGGGGCAGAAAACCCCAGGGAAUUUUCCAUUAGAUUAUUCAAACUGUCGAUUCAAAAAGAUCGAAGACCUCUGUAUCUCCCAGAAUUUGGGUCAUUUCCAAGAACUGCUUCAUCCAACUGUCCAGCAUGGGUUUGGCCUCCGAUCAGUCUUGCUGUUUUAUAUAAGUUGCCUCCUGUAAAAGCUAACCUAGUUAAUUAAGAACUGAAAUAGGUCAGGAUUUAUUUGAUGGCGUUUACCGGCAUUAUUUAGAAAUGCUAAUCCCUUUCAUCAUCAACUUUUUUGUUUGUUUGUUUCUUGUAGUAUAAAAAUAGGCAAUCUGAUAAGGGGAUUUAAAUGAAUCCAGAAGGAAUUGAUUGAGAAUAAUGCUAGGAUCCUGACGGUUCUUUUGUUUUGUUUUGUUUUGUUUUCAGCCAACACUUGAAGGAGUAAAUACUAGAAAUCCUGAGAAAUCUAGCUUCAAAACGUGGCUGUUCAUGACUAUGUCUUUGUUCCUAUAAUACCAAUAAAAGGGAACGUGCACUGAGUGCUUAAUGUUACCAGGCAUUCUGAUAAUACUGAGUUCUUUCUAGUCAGCUCAAGUCUCCCAGUCAUCUUUGAGGCAGGUACUGUUAUUAUCUCUAAUUUAUAGAUAAAGACCUUGAGACCGACCCAUCGAGGCUGUGAGUUUGCUCCAAAGACAAAUGUGGCAGAAGGGGGAUUUGAACCUGGGCAGGCUUGCUCCAGGCCUCAUGCUCUUUAAUUCCCUGUUAUACCACUUUUGAGGGUGCUAUGUGUGCUUUCUUCUCUGUUCUCCUUUAAUAACACAGAGAGUUCCCUAUCUUGUCCAGAUGCACAGAUGCAGUCCCAGUGGAGAACCACUGGCUUAGAGGGCAAUGCUGACUCAGCUGGCUCCUGGGGCAACUUGUUCUUCUGUAGAAACUGGCUGAUAAACUCAUUCACCCUGAGCUGCAAAGGCAAGUUAAGAGAAUAAGUCUUUAUGUUUUUUUGAGGGGAUGAGUUCUUGGUUUGCCUCAUGGCAAAUGAACAAAAGCCAAACUGUAGGGUUUGAGAAGAGUGUGGAAACCCUGCUCACCUCCUGGGAAUGGGAAGGAAAUUCAAUACACCAGGUCCUCAAAGCCAUGGUCACCGUGAUCACGCUGGCAGAGAAUCCAACAUGAAGAAGGGCUGGACGGCCUGGUGUCUGAGCCAUCCAUGGUAGAAUUGAAGAAUCCCAGGGCAGCGAAAUUUUGCCUGACUGAGUAACUGCUUGUACGACGUGAAAGGUCCCUCCACCUUGGGCUUCUGUGAUUCUAGAGAUAGCAAAGCCUUUUCACCAGAAAAGCAAAGGCCAGAUCGCUUUCUGACAGGGCCAAUUUAGCUUCUCUGAAGGAACAGUGAGCUUGCUUCUCUCUCUCUUUCUUUCUUAAUGGGAAGUGGUCACAGCCAUGAACUUAGCAAAAGAAGCAGGUUAAAAGUUGUCCGUUCUUGGCUAAUGCAGUUAGACGUUUUCGAGAAAAGGCAAUGAGAAGUGGUCAUUAUCCAUUAUCUGCAUGAAAUAUUUCAGAGAAAGAAGCAGCAUUUGCCAAAAAAAAGAAAAGAUGUUUGACUUCAAGCCAGGCAAGGAGGAAACAAGAUCACCUUCCAGCUCUGUGGGAUGGCUGGGCUAAUGAUGUUAUUUCAAGUAAAAUGGGAAUAUAUGUCUGAAAAAAUACAGAUGGUGCAUCGGCUUCAUAUACUUUCUGAAGGUCGUUCUGGACAAUGAUUCACUGUCCCCUUUCUUGGCAAAAAAGCCACAAAAACCCUUCAAACUUUCCAAUCUUGGAAAGAACUAUAUAUGUGUGAGUGUGUUUAUAUAGCCCUAUGUGGGGGAAAAUGUAUAGAAAAUCAGUAUGUACAUUUUGCUGAAAAUAGUUGCUACCAGUUGAAAAGUCAAGGCCCAAAGCUCUUAAUUUGAUAGGCAAGUCUCAGCCCUACGGUGUAGUGUCUUUGUCCCCGUUUGGUUUCACUGUGCUUUAUUCCCUGCUCCUGAUGUAUGUUCUCUUGGUAUGAGGAUAACAUAAGGAUAAUGAUUUCUAAGCUGGAGCCACCAGAAGUCUUAUGAAGUGGCCCCCCUCACCCUUCUCCAUGAAUAUUUUCUCACUCUGCUUUUUAAAAUUGUCACCAGGACAUUUCCCAAUAAUAACACAUGCCAGGCUGAAAUUCUAGGUAGCUGAAUAUAAAGUAUGUUUUCUAGGAGACCUUCUGCUUUGAGCAUUAGUCAUCUCUCUCGUCGCAAAGCCCAAGGCUUCCAACAAAGACCUUUUUUCUCAAAUGGUGGGUUGCUUUAUUUCUUGAAGAUUGCAGACAUUAUCAUUAUGGGUAAUGACCUAAUAACUUGCCAGUUGAUGUUUGCACAUCACUUCUGCGGAAGCUCCCAGCACACAUACCACUGGCUCCUUGUAUGAAUGAUUUAAUAUUAAGCAACAAACCCCACACUGAAGGAAGCUCUUCUCUUAUGCAUGACACAUAUGAAGCUGGUUCAUAUCUAAUGCAAAUAUCGUCUAAAAGCUGUUGGCUUGGAUUUAGGGAUAGCCAGGAAUGCCAAAGUCAACUGAUUUCAGCCAUCUCUGAGUUCAGAUGGGCCAUUACAACACACGGUGUUUAUAAAGUGCCUGCAACAGGGCUGGGAGGUCAGGAGGUCAUCCCACGGCCUCAGUGUGUUAACAUAUGUUACAAUAUUUGAUAUUCCUGAUGAUAUUAUGAAGUAAAUACUAGUAUAUUCUUAUUUUAUGGGUGAGGAAACUGAGCCUCUGAAAGUUUCAGUAACUUUCCUGUGAUCACACUUAAAUACUAACUGGCGGAUUUGAGCUGAGACCUGUCUGAUCCCAUGGCCCGGGGCCAUCUUAUCUUUUCAUUAACUGAUAAUCUUUGAAUCAGCACCUUUUCUUUUUCUCUUGCUGGGUGCUUCCCAGUAUAACUAGAAGCAAUUGUCUAAGCCACGGGUAUUUCACCUUUUGGUCCCUGGAGAGGAGAGAAGCUCGAACACUCUAAGUUGUAAUCUGUUCCUAAAGCUGGUACCCACGUCCACCUAGGAACACAGGCAGACAUGGGUAGCUUGCUAAAUACGUUGGUCCUAAUUAACAUUUUUGCAAUUUACAGCAGGGCCCCUCAAACAUUCUUGAGCCUGCGAAUCCCCCAGGGAUCUUAUUAAAUAAUUCCUCUUCCAUAGGCCUGGGGUAGAGCUGAGAGUCUGCAUUUCUAACAAGUUCCCAAGUGGUGAUGCUGCUGCUGCUGCUGCUUGUCCAAGGACCAUCCUUUGGGGGUAUCAAAGGUUUAUGGUCCAUUUCUCGUCCAUUUCCUUCUUUUUUCUGACAGGACCCUGUGAGGUAGGCCAGCUUGGGAUGGUCACUGCUCUUUGGGAUUGACAGAUGAGAAUCAAAGUCAAGGUCAAAGAGAUGGUAUGAGAAAGCACCAGAAGAGCUUCAAACACCAUCUGUCAUUUGAGUGGUUCCCUCUGCUGGGGAGACACUUCUGUCUUCAUAGGCUAAUUUGGAUAACUCUCAUUCCGGAUCUUCAAACUCUUUGCUUCCCCAGAUCCCUUUGGUUCAGAGCCUGCAAAUGAUGGGUCCCAGACAUGUUUGGUUUCUUCCAUGUGGUUUGGCCAAACAAAAUAUCUCGCAACAUGGGCCCUGCAGUUGGUCCUUGAGGAGCAGCUGUACCUUUUCACUGUGGCAUGGACUUUCCAGUUACCUCCAAAGCCCCUGUAGACACAGCUUCUCUCCAUAACUCUCUCCUCUCCUUGGCCUUUGGAGAACCACCGGAAGGGAAGGCCCCAUGAAACUCUACUAAAGUACGUUGCCUGUGAGAGCUGCAGAAUAAAUAUUUCGUCAUCAAAUGAAAAAAGAGAUGAACCACAAAAGGAUGACAGAGUAGAGUUCCCGUCGUGGCGCAGUGGUUAACGAAUCCGACUAGGAACCAUGAGGUUGGGGUUCGAUCCCUGCCCUUGCUCAGUGGGUUAAGGAUCCGGCGUUGCCGUGAGCUGUGGUGUAGGUUGCAGACGUGGCUCGGAUCCCGCGUUGCUGUGGUUCCGGCGUAGGCUGGCAGCUACAGCUCCGAUUAGACCCCUAGCCUGGGAACCUCCAUAUGCCGCAGGAGUGGCCCAAAGAAAUAGC
rnacentral:lncRNA from 1 species